rnacentral:rRNA from 1 species
AUUGAACGCUGGCGGCAGGCCUAACACAUGCAAGUCGAGCGGUAGCACAGAGAGCUUGCUCUCGGGUGACGAGCGGCGGACGGGUGAGUAAUGUCUGGGAAACUGCCUGAUGGAGGGGGAUAACUACUGGAAACGGUAGCUAAUACCGCAUAACGUCGCAAGAACAAAGUGGGGGACCUUCGGGCCUCAUGCAAUCAGAUGUGCCCACAUGGGAUUAGCUAGUAGGUGGGGUAACGGCUCACCUAGGCGACGAUCCCUAGCUGGUCUGAGAGGAUGACCAGCCACACUGGAACUGAGACACGGUCCAGACUCCUACGGGAGGCAGCAGUGGGGAAUAUUGCACAAUGGGCGCAAGCCUGAUGCAGCCAUGCCGCGUGUGUGAAGAAGGCCUUCGGGUUGUAAAGCACUUUCAGCGGGGAGGAAGGCGCCAAGGUUAAUAACCUUGGCGAUUGACGUUACCCGCAGAAGAAGCACCGGCUAACUCCGUGCCAGCCGCCGCGGUAA